GGGUGGGGGGGAGUAAUAGAUUUGCUAGCUUAAUGACAUCGCAGGGUCACCUCCAAAAUCUUUGAUAUAGCCUUCCGAUUUAGAAAUAUUACAUAUUUCACUCAUCCCACAAUAUAUUGGUCGCUCUAAAGUGUGCGAUGACCUUCUGCGUGGUCAUCCAGGCUUUGGUAUAUGGCAUCGAUGGACGUCUCACUCUUCGGUACGUGGUAUAACAUAUCUGCCCACGGGGUCAGGCGGGACUCUCCGUGCAAACCAUGAGUGACAGGCGGCAGGCCCCCUGCUGGAGUCCCCCAGCCUAACACCCCCGGCCUCUCUCGGGUCUAACUCCACACGCAGAACAAGGACAUUAUCAUUAGUGCAAACUCUCGCUGUUCUCAGCUAAAGCACCACUUCCAGUGCUAUCAGGCUUAUAAUCCAUAACCCCUACCCUAAUACCCACCCACACCCAGCCCCAUCCCCGGAACCGUCACGAUCCAGCAUGCACCCGCACAACACGCACACGCACACACACACACACACACACACACACACACACACACGGCUGUACAACUCGUUAGGGUUUUUUUUUAAAUGCAGCGCGAUAUAAUAUUUUAAGAAAACUAAGACAUGAAGCAGAAAAGUAUGUAAAGCUACAGCCUCUUUUAAAGACAUUAAGGAGGGGUUGGAGGACAGUAAAAGAGGUUAGGGGGGUCAUUGUGCAGCCUGGUCAGCGAGCCCCGGUCUGGAUAAACACGCAGUACUUCUCUCUCCCGCCAAGCCCAGUAGAUCUUUGGCUUGUGGACGUUCAAACGGACACACGGGAGAUGAGGUGAGCGACCUUCAGCUUUCAGAGGUUCUGGAUUCGGUUUUUGGGCGGAAGGGGUUGGAAUACUUCCAGUUAGAGCUGGAAAAUAAUUCCUAUCCAAUUAGUAUUUGACCAUCCACAACCAAACAACCCAGCAUUAUCGCCGGGGUUUCGAGACCUGUAUCUGCAUGACAUUCACUCUUGAACCUCAUGAAGAUACAACAAUAAAGGCUUCAAAGGCCGAGCGCAGAGCCAAUUUAGAGAUCAGAUCACCGAGUAACCAAACCAACAUUUAUUCUGCGUGUUUUCCCGAAGAAAGCACUCUUUGAUGCUGUGGUAUUGGAUGGCAAUUCAUCACAAUGCUCUUGUUCUGCUAAAAUAUGUUUGGUUCAGCGCGCGGGGCUGGUGAACAGAUGGGGCAGACACAAAGUUUGUUUAUCCAGGCUUGUCCUGAGACCCUCCAGCCAGCCAGCCAGUGACGUGCGCAUGUGCCCGUGCACACGCAUGCAGAAAGCAAAAGUGCAUGCCUCUGCACACGCGUGCAAGCACGGAGCACCCUGACCGCUACGUUCACACUCUCCUCACUCCCUUACGUCUCACUCUCUGAAGUGCAUUUGUUUACAGGGGUUCGAUGUAUAUCUAUAUAUCUAUAUACGUUUAUAUAUAUUUGUUUUUUUCUUUCUAAAUACAUAUUUGUUUUCUUAGUCCACCUGACAUGUCUUUGUGAGAUCUCAUCUCAUUACACAUUUGUGUCUAGAUUUUCGUUCUUUUUAUUUUUGGCAACUUGUCGCCAAACCCUGAACGAAACCGAGGAAGAGGAGUCGGGGCCGACUCCUUUUCCUCUUCCUCUUCCAUCCCUGUCUCGUGUCAGCGAAGUACCCGUUUGGUCGACCAAAAAGUGCCAUUAACUCAGUUACAAAGUGCAAUCACAAGCCGCCUCUCUCCGAUAUAAAGGUGCAAAAGGAGCCGACACACGCAAAUCAAGCGUUUCUGCCAAGAGCUGGGGAGAGGGAGUGGGGGGGGGGUCUCAAGUUCUCCUUACCCACAUAGCAACGACGUAUUGUAAAACUGAGAGCAAACCGGAUGCACCAGGUCAGAACACACACACAGCACUGACCAAGCUACCAUCCCACUUUCUGGUGGAAUCUGCAAGAGUGUGUGUGUGUGUGUGUGUGUGUGUGUGUGUGUGUGUGUGUGUGUGUGUGUGUGUGUGUGUGUGUGUGUGUGUGUGUGUGUGUGUGUGUGUGUGUAAUGGGCUGGCAGUUCAGGGUGCAUGUUUGAACAGGCUGUGGCUGACUCACAACAAAGUGAUGAUGUGGCCAGAGGGACCGUGGCGACCACGGAGGUGCGCACGCAACCACACAACCACACAGUC
ensembl:lncRNA